UUGCUGGAGGAUUUCGUAGUCGUAGCUAGAAUUGCUGACGUGGCAUCCCAAACAUGCUGCAGCUGCUUUUUGCCUGUCCUACUGGCGAAGGGCGAGAAGGAUGCUGAUUGGCUCAAGUUUUUUNNNNNNNNNNNNNNNNNNNNNNNNNNNNNNNNNNNNNNNNNNNNNNNNNNUUUCAACUAAUACCGCAUAACGUCGCAAGAGCAAAGAGGGGGACCUUCGGGCCUCUUGCCAUCAGAUGUGCCCAGAUGGGAUUAGCUAGUAGGUGGGGUAACGGCUCACCUAGGCGACGAUCCCUAGCUGGUCUGAGAGGAUGACCAGCCACACUGGAACUGAGACACGGUCCAGACUCCUACGGGAGGCAGCAGUGGGGAAUAUUGCACAAUGGGCGCAAGCCUGAUGCAGCCAUGCCGCGUGUAUGAAGAAGGCCUUCGGGUUGUAAAGUACUUUCAGCGGGGAGGAAGGUGUUGUGGUUAAUAACCGCAGCAAUUGACGUUACCCGCAGAAGAAGCACCGGAUAAAUACCGUGCCAGCAGCCGAGGUAAUAACGGAGGGUGCAAGCGUUAGUCGGAAUUACUGGGCGUAAAGCGCACGCAGGCGGUCUGUACAAGUACGGAUGUGAAAUCCCCGGGAUCAACCUGAGAACUAGCAUACGAAACUGGCAAGCUAGAGUCUCGUAGAGGGGGGUAGAAUUCCAGGUGUAGCGGUGAAAUGCGUAGAGAUCUGGAGGAAUACCGGUGGCGAAGGCGGCCCCCUGGACGAAGACUGACGCUCAGGUGCGAAAGCGUGGGGAGCAAACAGGAUUAGAUACCCUGGUAGUCCACGCUGUAAACGAUGUCGAUUUGGAGGUUGUGCCCUUGAGGCGUGGCUUCCGGAGCUAACGCGUUAAAUCGACCGCCUGGGGAGUACGGCCGCAAGGUUAAAACUCAAAUGAAUUGACGGGGGCCCGCACAAGCGGUGGAGCAUGUGGUUUAAUUCGAUGCAACGCGAAGAACCUUACCUACUCUUGACAUCCAGAGAACUUUCCAGAGAUGGAUUGGUGCCUUCGGGAACUCUGAGACAGGUGCUGCAUGGCUGUCGUCAGCUCGUGUUGUGAAAUGUUGGGUUAAGUCCCGCAACGAGCGCAACCCUUGUCCUUAGUUACCAGCACGUUAUGGUGGGCACUCUAAGGAGACUGCCGGUGACAAACCGGAGGAAGGUGGGGAUGACGUCAAGUCAUCAUGGCCCUUACGGCCUGGGCUACACACGUGCUACAAUGGUCGGUACAGAGGGUUGCCAAGCCGCGAGGUGGAGCUAAUCUCACAAAACCGAUCGUAGUCCGGAUCGCAGUCUGCAACUCGACUGCGUGAAGUCGGAAUCGCUAGUAAUCGCAAAUCAGAAUGUUGCGGUGAAUACGUUCCCGGGCCUUGUACACACCGCCCGUCACACCAUGGGAGUGGGUUGCACCAGAAGUAGCUAGUCUAACCUUCGGGAGGACGGUUACCACGGUGUGAUUCAUGACUGGGGUGAAGUCGUAACAAGGUAGCCGUAGGGGAACCUGCGGCUGGAUCACCUCCUUA
rfam:Oryza sativa (indica cultivar-group) chromosome 10, whole genome shotgun sequence.